GAUGAACGCUGGCGGCGUGCCUAAUACAUGCAAGUCGAGCGAACAGAUGAGGAGCUUGCUCCUCUGACGUUAGCGGCGGACGGGUGAGUAACACGUGGAUAACCUACCUAUAAGACUGGGAUAACUUCGGGAAACCGGAGCUAAUACCGGAUAAUAUAUUGAACCGCAUGGUUCAAUAGUAAAAGACGGUUUUGCUGUCACUUAUAGAUGGAUCCGCGCCGCAUUAGCUAGUUGGUAAGGUAACGGCUUACCAAGGCAACGAUGCGUAGCCGACCUGAGAGGGUGAUCGGCCACACUGGAACUGAGACACGGGCCAGACUCCUACGGGAGGCAGAAGUAGGGAAUCUUCCGCAAUGGGCGAAAGCCUGACGGAGCAACGCCGCGUGAGUGAUGAAGGUCUUCGGAUCGUAAAACUCUGUUAUUAGGGAAGAACAAAUGUGUAAGUAACUAUGCACGUCUUGACGGUACCUAAUCAGAAAGCCACGGCUAACUACGUG
rnacentral:rRNA from 1 species